rnacentral:rRNA from 1 species
UACGUAGGUGGCAAGCGUUGUCCGGAUUUACUGGGCGUAAAGAGCGCGCAGGCGGUCGUUCAAGUCGCGUGUGAAAGCCCCCGGCUCAACUGGGGAGGGUCACGCGAUACUGAUCGACUCGAAGGCAGGAGAGGGAAGUGGAAUUCCCGGUGUAGUGGUGAAAUGCGUAGAUAUCGGGAGGAACACCAGUGGCGAAGGCGACUUCCUGGCCUGUUCUUGACGCCGAGGCGCGAAAGCUAGGGGAGCAAACGGG